rnacentral:rRNA from 1 species
GACGAACGCUGGCGGCGUGCCUAAUACAUGCAAGUAGAACGCACAGUUUAUACCGUAGCUUGCUACACCAUAGACUGUGAGUUGCGAACGGGUGAGUAACGCGUAGGUAACCUGCCUGGUAGCGGGGGAUAACUAUUGGAAACGAUAGCUAAUACCGCAUAAUAUUGAUUAUUGCAUGAUAAUUGAUUGAAAGAUGCUAUUGCAUCACUACCAGAUGGACCUGCGUUGUAUUAGCUAGUAGGUGAGGUAACGGCUCACCUAGGCGACGAUACAUAGCCGACCUGAGAGGGUGAUCGGCCACACUGGGACUGAGACACGGCCCAGACUCCUACGGGAGGCAGCAGUAGGGAAUCUUCGCCAAUGGACGAAAGUCUGACCGAGCAACGCCGCGUGAGUGAAGAAGGUUUUCGGAUCGUAAAGCUCUGUUGUAAGAGAAGAACGGGUGUGAGAGUGGAAAGUUCACACUGUGACGGUAUCUUACCAGAAAGGGACGGCUAACUACGUG